GAUGAACGCUGGCGGCGUGCCUAAUACAUGCAAGUCGAGCGAACAGACGAGGAGCUUGCUCCUCUGACGUUAGCGGCGGACGGGUGAGUAACACGUGGAUAACCUACCUAUAAGACUGGGAUAACUUCGGGAAACCGGAGCUAAUACCGGAUAAUAUAUUGAACCGCAUGGUUCAAUAGUGAAAGACGGUUUUGCUGUCACUUAUAGAUGGAUCCGCGCCGCAUUAGCUAGUUGGUAAGGUAACGGCUUACCAAGGCGACGAUGCGUAGCCGACCUGAGAGGGUGACCGGCCACACUGGAACUGAGACACGGUCCAGACUCCUACGGGAGGCAGCAGUAGGGAAUCUUCCGCAAUGGGCGAAAGCUUGACGGAGCAACGCCGCGUGAGUGAUGAAGGUCUUCGGAUCGUAAAACUCUGUUAUUAGGGAAGAACAAAUGUGUAAGUAACUAUGCACGUCUUGACGGUACCUAAUCAGAAAGCCACGGCUAACUACGUG
rnacentral:rRNA from 1 species